rnacentral:rRNA from 1 species
GUUCUCCAAUCAAGUAGGACUACCCGCUGAACUUAAGCAUAUCAAUAAGCGGAGGAAAAGAAACUAACAAGGAUUCCCCUAGUAACGGCGAGUGAAGUGGGAAAAGCUCAAUUUUGUAAUCUGGCUCUUUUAGAGUCCGAGUUGUAGUCUAGAGAAGUGCUAUCCGCGUCGGACCUUAAACAAGGCUGUUGGAAUGCAGCGUCGUAGAGGGUGAGAAUCCCGUACAUGUUGAGGACUCCCGUAUGCAUUGUGAUACAUUUUCAAAGAGUCGAGUUGUUUGGGAAUGCAGCUCAAAUUGGGUGGUAAAUUCCAUCUAAAGCUAAAUAUUGGCGAGAGACCGAUAGCGAACAAGUACCGUGAGGGAAAGAUGAAAAGCAC